rnacentral:lncRNA from 1 species
CUCCAGGAAUUUUUACCACAGACAUAACUUUGUUUAGAUCCACCUUCUGUUCUUUUACCUGUUUUGAUACAAGGUAACGCUUCAUUGUUGGCUGUCAGGUAACCCCUCUUGGACUUGGUCCUCUGUUCUCUCACCUGACUAUCCAGUAUGAACCAAUUCCAUAUAAAGAUAGAGAAGGGCUUACCUGGAAAGAUCCUGUUUUUUGAACUGGGUAUGAUUUUCGGGUAAGACUUAAAUGUCUGUGCAAGAAACUUUCACGGAUAACACGAAAUUCACAGUUUCAUCUUGAAUACCCUUGAUGAGUAGCAAAUUGUAACUAAAAAAAACUAUGAAAGGAUCAGGUCAAUAUCUGUCAUUGCCAUCCCAACGGCUAUAAUUUUCAUUGGCAGGGGUGGCGGGGUGGGAGGGGUGUCUUGUGGCCCAGCACCCACUGACCUUCUCAUCUGGAAGUCAUUCCCCAGGUGUGAAUUCUUGGUAGAAAGCAAUGCCUUUUCUCCAACUACAGAAGCCAGCCUCUCCCAGAAUCUUUGCCUCUGGCCUUGAGCAUCCUGAACGUCAUGGCCUUCCCGGGACAUGAAAUGGUGACUGAGGGAUAUGAAGAGCGACGGUGGGCGUCUCCCACAAAUGGCAGUCGUUGUGUUUCCUGUCUCUUGACCCUUGGAGACACUUGGCCCCAUCAAUUCUAUUUCUCAAACUUAGCCUUCCAGGCUUGCCUUGAUCAGGUGUAUCAUCCAUCCAUCUGUCUAUCUCUCCAUCUUCAAAUAACUCCCAUUUUGUUCGGAGUUGGAACCCAUUUUCUGUUACUUGCAACCACAAGUAUUUUAUCUCCUCCUCUUCCUCCUCAACAAAGUGUUUUCAAAGGCCCACUCCCACAGCUUCAUGGGUCCCUGGGUGAAUGGCUCCGAGAAGGAUGCACCCUCUACAAGGAAGGAUGGAGUGUGCAUUUCCCCUUGGGUACCAUCCCAGUGGCUCUCUUCUCCUCUCUUGCUGUGUCUAGGACUUUGCUCCACCUGCAAGGAGGCGGUAGGAUGGGGACUCAGGCAGGCUCUGGAUUCUCAUCUCUUCUUCCUGGUUUCUAUGAGAAACAAUUUCAUAACCACAUAAUCCUGUGUGUUUGGGGGUCCUCAUUAAAUGCUAGGCACUGGCUAAUCCCUUUGCAUUACUAUGCUAUCACCACAGUAAACUUAUGAGAUUAGCAUUACCACUGUUUUUAGAGGAAAAAGAAGAAAAUGCCUUAGAUGCAGAGAAGUUAAACAGCUUGCUUCAGGUCCCCCAGCUGUGGAAGAGCAGGCCCAAGAUUCAAGCCGAAGUCUAUGCGUUUUAGUCAGUUCUGGCUUUGAUAACAAAUUACCUUACACGAGAUGGCUUCCCCAACAAACGUUUAUUUCUCACAAUUCUGCAGUGUGGCAAGUCCAGGAUCGAGCUGCCAGCAGAUGCCUUUGGUAUUUUCUUCUUUCUAUCUCAGCAUGUUUGCUCUGGAGAUAAGGUUACCUUGGUGUGUCCUUUCUAGGUUGAGAUUGGAUGGUGUGCUGGACAGUGACUGGUUAAUGCUUCUCCCUCCCACAAGAGCACAAGGUAGUCUUUCAUGGACAAACAAUGAAGUUCACACCUCCUCCUCUUCCUAAUAACAACUGCUACUGCCUUUUUUUUUUUUUUUUAAAGCUAACAAUCACUUAUAUCUUCCUAUGUGCCAGGAACUCCGCUAUUGACAUGAAUUAACCAAUUCAAUCCUUGUGACAACCCCAUGACACACGUACUAUUAUCAGCUACAUUUUUAGAUAAGAAAUCAGGCUUAGAAAUCUAAUUAACUUGCCCAAAGCCACACAACCAGUAUGUAGCAGAACUGAGGCUUUUUUAAAAUUGUGGUAAAAUAUGUAAAACAUACUAAUUUGCCUUUUUAACCACUUUAAAGUCUAUAAUUCAGGGGCAUAUAAGGUACCCAUUCACAAUGCUGUGCAAUUAUCCCCAUUAUCCGUUUCCAGAACUUUUUCAUCAUCCCAAGAGUUAAGCCUUGAAGCUGAGUUUGUGCAACUUCUAAUUUGUGAAAGGAGCCUAUUCUGCAGUGGUUAGAGCGUAAAUUCUUCAUGGGUUCAAAUUUCAGCUCUGUGAUGAAUGAGCUAUGAGAUCCUGGGGCAAGUUACUUCAUUUUUCUAAUAUCUUCAUCUGGAAAGGAUGACAAUUAAUGGUGCC